ACUCUCUCUCUCUCACUCCUCUCUCCUCUCUCUCUCUCUCUCACCCAGAAAUUCACAGCUUCUGUAUCACUUUUGACAUUCUCUCUCUGCACAGCAAGUCAGAAUCCUAUAUUUCGAUUCGAUCAAAGAUCAUAACACGAAAUGGCUGAUGGAGAGGAUAUUCAACCCCUUGUUGUUGACAAUGGUACCGGAAUGGUCAAGGCUGGUUUUGCGGGUGAUGAUGCCCCAAGGGCAGUUUUCCCUAGCAUAAUAGGCCGCCCUAGGCAUACAGGUGUUAUGGUUGGAAUGGGGCAAAAGGAUGCUUAUGUAGGUGAUGAAGCUCAAUCCAAAAGGGGUAUUCUCACAUUGAAGUACCCAAUCGAGCACGGUAUAGUGAGCAAUUGGGAUGACGUGGAAAAGAUUUGGCAUCACACUUUUUACAACGAGCUCCGUGUUGCUCCUAGAAGAGCACCCUGUUCUAUCUCACCGAGGCACCUCUACAACCCUAAAGCAAACAGAGAGAAAAUGACUCAAAUCAUGUUCGAGACCUUCAACGUGCCAGCUAUGUAUGUUGCUAUCCAGGCUGUCCUUUCUCUGUAUAGCUAGUGGGCGUACAACCGGUAUAGUGCUCGAUUCGGGUGAUGGUGUGAGUCACACAGUUCCUAUUUAUGAGGGAUUUUCACUUCCACAUGCUAUCUUGCGUUUGGAUCUUGCUGGUCGUGAUUUGACUGACUAUCUCAUGAAGAUUCUGACUGAGAGAGGUUACAUGUUCACCACAAGUGCGGAACGGGAAAUUGUGCGUGAUGUGAAAGAGAAGCUUGCUUAUGUGGCACUGGAUUUCGAUCAGGAAACAGAGACUGCAAAGAGCAGUUCUUCGAUUGAAAAGAGUUACGAGCUGCCAGAUGGACAAGUUAUAACCAUCGGUGCUGAGAGGUUCCGUUGUCCGGAAGUCUUGUUCCAGCCGUCGCUGGUUGGGAUGGAAGCUGCAGGAAUUCACGAAACGACUUACAGCUCGAUCAUGAAAUGUGACGUGGAUAUAAGAAAGGAUCUUUAUGGCAACGUUGUGCUCAGUGGUGGGUCCACUAUGUUCCCUGGUAUUGCUGAUCGUAUGAGCAAGGAAAUAACUGCUCUUGCUCCGAGCAGCAUGAAGAUUAAGGUUGUUGCACCACCUGAGAGAAAGUACAGUGUUUGGAUCGGAGGGUCAAUUCUUGCAUCCCUCAGUACUUUCCAGCAGAUGUGGAUCUCAAAGGGAGAGUACGAUGAAUCUGGCCCUGCAAUUGUUCACAGGAAGUGUUUCUAAGAUGGGUCAAAAGUUAUCUUGUUAUCUUCGAUUUCUUGCAGUUUGAAUGGAGUGUGGGUGUUGGCUUGCGGUUUUGAGUAUAAUCAUGAAGUGAUUUUGUAAGGUGUUUUUGUAUUUGUAAUUGAUGGUAAGAUUUGUUUUUUUUGUGGUUUAUGUACUUUCCGGGUAGAAGUUAGAAAUGAAUUUACCUCAGGGCUGUAAUAUUUGGCUGGCACUGGGCUUUGGCCUUUUAUUUUGCUCUGACACUAUAAAUUAUUUAAGUUGGAUUGUGAAUGGAUUUUGUGGGUGUUGCUUUCCUAA